rnacentral:rRNA from 1 species
UACGUAGGGCGCAAGCGUUGUCCGGAAUUAUUGGGCGUAAAGAGCUCGUAGGUGGCGUGUCGCGUCUGCCGUGAAAGCCCAUGGCUUAACUGUGGGUCUGCGGUGGAUACGGGCAGGCUGGAGGCUGGUAGGGGCAAGCGGAAUUCCUGGUGUAGCGGUGAAAUGCGCAGAUAUCAGGAGGAACACCGGUGGCGAAGGCGGCGUCCUGGACCAACACUGACACUGAGGAGCGAAAGCCAGGGGAGCAAACGGG